CUGUUUUUAAGCUAUAAUUAUAUAGCUAAUUGAAUAAAAGUGCUGGUGCGUGGUAGCCUGUCGGGGCUUGUGCAAUGAAACCCUAUGAACCUCGUCAGGUCCGAGAGGAAGCAGCGAUAAGUAGACCGUUCCAUGUGCCACGAGGUAACCUGUCAGGCUAUCAUACACGAGUACUUUUACGCAGAUAGUAAAGCAG
rnacentral:SRP_RNA from 1 species